rnacentral:tRNA from 1 species
GCGUUUUUAGUUUAAUGGACAAAAACACCAAUCUUCUAAAUUGAAUAUACAGGUUCGAAUCCCGUAAAACGCA